rnacentral:lncRNA from 1 species
UUACAUCUGUGAUCUUAGAUAAACUUAAAUUAAACAGGUUACAAUUACAUAUUAUACAAUUUUUAGGUUACAAUUACUCAAGGUCGCAAUCACAUACGCCACAAAUUAUUGGCACAUAUGAGGUUUCAAAUCAAACAGUUAACAUGUCACAAAUAAUUCAUUAAUCAUAAACUAUACACUUAACUUGUCACGAUCACUAAUUUUCCUCGACGCAAACCACACUAUUUCUAUUAGAUACAAAUCACACAGUUUUCCUUGAAUUUUUGCUGCAUAUCUCACCAACAAAUCACACCAUUUAUGUUACUCACAAACCAUACCAUUUUCCUAGACACGAAUUUAAUUAAUUUUGCCAACCCAUCUCACAUAUCUGUACUGAUCAUUGAUGACAGGAUUUUUAUUUACCAUCAUGUCUAAUGGAAGCAAGCUUCCACUUUUACACGGAAAAAUGAAAAUAAAACUAAAGUAGCCAGAUAAAAGAAAAUAAAUAUACUGUAGCAGCCCUCGCAACACGAAAAAGUCAGCCUGAUACUAGUUUACUGCUAUAGUUAUAACCAUUGUUUUAUAUUUGUAUUCUCAAUUAACUAAUAUAUGUAGCCUUUGCAGUAGCUAUACUAACAAUAUUUUCGAUCUCAUUAGAAAAUUAUUUUCAUUGUAGGCCUCUCAUUUUAUUUAUUUAUUCUUUGCAUUACACCAAGCAUUUGACGACCAGAAAUCCAAAAUGCUUUUAAUGUCUCCACUCCAAAUUACUUAAAAAAUCGAUCCAAAAAUCCUUUUAGACAUCCAAUAUUGUUGAGCAUUAAUAUCUUUGAGUUAAACGCUGGAGAAAUUUAUCUUGCUCGCUAACCAACCCGAGGGAUAAAAUAAUUUUAUCACUUCCUACAUAAUUUUGAAUAUUGUGUGAAAACGAUUUUCAUAUGGUGUGAAAGAACAAGAAACUAACAAUUGUUUUGACCACCCAUCAAGUGCGUUGUAAAAUGGAGGUGUAGCACAUAUAGUGAUUCACACACACAUAACACCGCCACCAUGUUAUUAUUCAUUUUUACCCUCAUACUCACCCAAGCCCACUAUACAAAAGUGAAUGGCACCACCUCUAAUUUUAAUCCCUACCUCUUGUCGAUGAGAGCUCCAUCAUUUGCCUCCCCACAGUGGAGAUUCUCAACAUCGACGAAAACAAUCUAAUUAAACUUGAUUCCUUGAUUGUUCAAUUUGAAGGAUCCGAGAGAGAGA